AAAAACACAGAAAAGGAGGUCAAAAGAACGUGAGUUUGUCAUCUGGUUUCAAUAUUCUGAACAUCUAUAGACCUACGUAUACUGCAGAUUUGCUGCCGGAGUUGUUUUUAAAAUGUUUCUCCAGAACUAACUGGCUAAACACCGAACUUUAUUGUUAUCUAGUUUUUUCUUUUCACAAUAUAUAUAGGUAACCACAACCAUUCAGCCAAUGACGACAAACCACCCGGUAACAACCAGCCAACCGACGAUAACCUCCCAAGACAAGCAGCCUAAAGCUCACAGGAUGGACUCUGCGCCAGGCAUUUACUCCUCAGUUUUAGGACAGAGGGGAUUUUUAAGAAAGUCCACGGCAACCAACACCGAGCCGAGACAAGCCACACCAGGCUCCCAGGUGAUUAUCUCCUCAAGACAGUUUCAUUAUUUUAAUUUCUUCAAAAUAGCCUAGGAUGUGCUAUACAGGUUAUUAAUGAUUUUACGCCGUGUCUGACAUCAAUCUAGACCAGCGUUUUCAAGGAGAUGGAACUAAGUUAUAACUUGCUUUGCGUCGGUCAGAAGGGACUUGAGUUUUACUCGAUGCGCUCUUUUUCAAAUAGUCCAACUUUGGCCAUCUGUGCUUUUCGGUCUUUCACGGUAACGUGAAGUCAUGAAAAGAGCAUUAAAAUUGUGAGAUAUAUUACAUACAUAUGAGCACAAAAAAUUGUAUUACACCAGAUCUAGAUCAUUAUUUAGCCAACUCGGCGCUACGCGUCUCGUUGGGAAUCUAUAUCAUCUCAUAUCCAGCGCACGCUCGUGGAAUAGCCUUUUAGGUCUUCUUAAGCAGUUCAGUUUUUCCUGGCAGGUUGGGCUCUCAGACAAGAUGCCAAGCUAUUUCAAGAUACCUGUUGGUAAAAGAGAAAGGUCAGUUUUAAACCGCAGUGUUAGGAAGGUCAGUUUUAGAACAGUGUUGUGUGUUGUUUCCGUUUUCUUGUUUGUCGAUACCAUAAUAAUGUAAUGGUAGUAGUGUGUAAUAAUGGUUUGGCACGAUCAUGUGUUCAUAACAUCGGACUGAAAGCUACGCUAUUCGUUCGUUAAAAGUCCUUAGAUGUAAACCGUUAGACAAACG